UUGAUCAUCCACCUUUAUAUGCAUAUAUUUUAGGUGUCCUCCCUGUACAAAAUUAAGUGCAUAUUUUUUCUAAAUUUUUUAUUGACAUCUAGAUUAUAUGUGAAUUAAAGCGAAACUGAAUAAAUUUUGUCACAUCCCUCAAUUGGAAUGAGUGUGUGCAUUUUACUUUUGAAUUAUUAUGUGUAUUUAGCAUGGGAUGGGGAAAGGUUUCUGGUGUCUAUCAUGUUGACCAAAAUCUAUUUGUAAAUCCUUUCACCUGGACAUAUAUGGUUCUUUACUGUAAGUACAUAUUUGGGCUCUCUCAAGUACUGCAAAACUGUCUAAUAUAGCGCACAUAUUCUCGUGCACACACUUUUAAAAAUUUUACAUUCUGUUGAUAGCUGACAACAUGUUUAUUGAUGAAUAACAUGGCAGGCAACUCAGAUAAAUGACAUGGCUACAUCUGGCUGCAAAUUUCCCAGUAGUCCAGCUAUGCCUAUGGGAUUGACAGCAGCGGUGGCGCUUAUAAUUGCUCAGACUCUGAUCAAUAUUACAACUGGAUGUCUGUGUUGCAACAAUGAACAAUUUCAGUUUAACUCUAGACUGAUAGCGGCUGUAUUGUGUUCUUCAAUGUCGUGGUAAUCAUGCAUAUCUUCUUUAGCUUGGAGGAUAUUCCAGUUCUACUUGUUUAUUACUCUAUAGCUUAAUUGACAUGUUACUAUGUUAGCCUUUCUUUUAGUAUAGCAGAAUCAUUUUUCUAUUAAAAUGCCAGUUUAGUGGUAAAGAUACAACUCUUAGGAGAUACAGAUAUAGAUAUAUCUAGAGGCAUCUGUGCAGUUAGACUAUUACACAUAUAAAAGGGGAUGAUACUCAUGGUUGGGACUGAGACCUCUUAGAAAGAUGGGUAUUGUUUUGGGCAACCGUUGGGACGUAGAAGCCUGGUGAAGAUAUUAUGUCAAGCUUAGAGACAUGUAAUACAGUUGCAUCUUAGUAUAUCAAAUUUUUUGUUGUAGAUCAUCGAAUACUAAUGUCUGAUAAAUGUAAAAAUAGGAGGCCGGGAGUUAAGACUUAAGAACAAAGUGAAGAUAUGUACAUGAAAUAGGUAAACUACCAAAGCAGUUACCCUUAGCUUUGAUCAUGGCAUUCAAAGAUGUUAAUUUGGUACUUUUUCUUAGAGAAGUUAACUUGAUGCUUAUAAAAGGAAAACUUGCUACAAAAUUUAUUCAUCUGUUCUUUCCACUUUCAAGGCAAAAUCUGUUAAUUAUCUUGAGCGAUAAGCUAGAACAGUAGAACACUUUACUUCUUCUGUUCCUUCUAAGCCUCUGCAGCUGAAUUUAAUCUAGCACCAAGAUGAUUCCUAUCCGUAUGUACUUUCUGUACAAAUUUGGAAUAGGCGUUGAAUGACUUCAUCUCCUCCGUAACCUGGAAAAGCUCAUGAACAAUAGGCUUGUAUGAUCUUGUGAAUUGAACCACCAGCCCAGAACAUAUGAUUUAUUGUUAGAUUUAACCUGUAAUCUUUAGUCUUGCCGCUCUCUUUAGUUAUUUUUUAAUAUUUUUAUUUAUGCAAUUAACUUUGCCCAAAAAACUGUUGUAUAUAAAAUUAGGAGUUCUGAGUUUUGUAUGUGAAACGUAUUGCAGGUUCACAUUUUCAGCCGCUGUCCUUUUGUUUCUAAUUGGCGCAGCACUCAAUUAUAAACAUGGUGAAGAGUCCAUAUACUAUGGAGACUAUUCUUGCUAUGUUGUAAAGAGAGGAGUAUUCGCUAUAGCUGCCGUAUUGUCCCUUGUAACUGUUGUUCUUGGAAUCCUUUCAUACAUAAAGGCGGAAAGAGCAAAGAACAUUUUGGAUAGUUGGACUCCACUUGCUUCCCCUGGACAACCUGGCAUUUCCAUGGGACAAGUCCAGCUUCCUCAACAAUCUGGCACUGCCUUUGGACAAGCUCAGCUUUCUCAACAGAGGUCACAGAGUGCGGUAGAUGUUUAUGAGAACACUUAUUUGAGGGAACAAAUAGUUUGAUAUCAUCUUUACUCUAGGGUGAUGCAACCUGGCACUUUUUAUCAGUUCUAGAAGAUUCCAAUCGAAUUUGUAAUGAUGCAAAAUUUCAACUUUUCUUAAUGUUAUGAUGCAAAAGUUUCUCUUCAUAUUCAUUCUGCCUAUUAUUUUCUGUGAAGGUAGUCAACUUAUGAGAGUUGGUUGUACAAGAGAGUUAAUUGUAUAGGCAGGAGACCAUCUUAUUUGCUUCAAAUAUCUGCACCUCAUUUUCCAUUUCUUACGAGAAUAAAGUCUAGUCUUGUUGAUGAAGAUUGUUAAAUUGUUUCACUCCUAGAACUAAGUAAAACUGUGAAAAUCAACCUUUUAAUUCAUUCAAACAAUUCUCGUUAAAUUCAUGCUAUUGAUGACCAUGAAAUAUCAUUCAGCCAACAUAAAAACAAAAGCUUAUGUUCAUGAUGGGAAGUUAAUGUUAUUUAAUUUUUAGUCAUUGCCAAAAUGGUUAGAAGCGUCUCAUCAAUCAUCAUAAACAUAAACAGUUUCAGUGUCAAAGUUUUUAAUAUAUUUUCUCAGCACUAACUAAACACGGAAAUUCAUUUGAAUUAAAAGAAUUAUUGUCAAAUUGAAAUGAUUGUGGAGUAUUGAUACAGUUAUUUAUAUAUAAGGUCUUUCUAGAUGAACCCACUCAUAAUGUAUAAAAAAAGUGCUUCAACAGUGUCCUACUAUCCUGUGAUUAGCACAUCCCCAAAUUUUGUAGUCUUAGGUAAUUAUUACCUAUAAAUAUUUAUGAAUAAGAAAUUCAUAUUUCUUUCUUUCAAAAAAAAGAAAUUCAUCUUUCUCCUUUUUUUUUAUUUCUCCCUCCUUUUUUCUCUUGUUUCUUUCAAAUUUAUUAUUAAAAUAAUAAUAAGGAACGCCGUACCUUAUAAAUAUUUUUAACAAUUUCCAAAAUGAUAGCAUAAGUUAGACUAAAUUAACUAGAAUGUGACAUAUGUAUAAAUUAUAUAUACGUGUGUUAAACGAUUAUCCCUUUUAAAAUUGGGACACUUGUAAUACACUAAUACGUAAUUAAAAAGUAAAAAAAAAUAAUUAAAAUUUUGGUAGUAAUUGCAAUAUAUAAGUUUAUUUUUAAAAAAUGUAUAAAUAUACUAGCUUAAAUCAUUUUUAAUAUAUAAUCUAUUAUUAUUUGUAUUUUGUAAUAUAAUUUUCUAUUUUUUCCAUGCAUAUAAUUGUGUUAGACUUUAAUAUUCAAAUAUCUUAAUAUAUCUUUCAGAUGUUCUCUAAUAAUGUUGUUAGAUCAUUAAUAUAAGAUUUUAGUAAUUAAUUUUGUGAAAAUAUAUUUUUUAAAAAAAAUGGGUGCAAUAGUGGUUUAGUAUAGAGUUAUGCUAUUAAAAUAAGGAAAUUUGUGAAUCUAAAAAUGAAUAAGUAUAAUGAUUAUUUAAUAUAUAAUAAGUAUGUUAAAAUAAGCUUAAGAAAGAAAAGAACUCGUAAAUUUUUAUUAAUAGUUUAGCAAGAAUGUAUUUUAAUUAAAAUAAAUUAGUUUUAUUAAAACUUAUUAUAAAUUAAGAAGAUAAAUAAUACAAGUAAAGGUGUGUUUUCAUUAAAAUAUAAUAAGCACAUUAAAAUAUAUUUUAAAUAUAAUAAGCUCUUAAAUUGUCAAUAUAUCUUUAAUUAAACAUAUUAUAGAUGGUUCGAUCCUAAAUUUUUUUAAUAUAUCUUUCAUAUCUAUUUUUAAUUAAAUAUUAUACAUGUAAAUGAAGUUGGGUAUGUAAAAGUGAAAAUUUAAAAUAUAUACACAAUCUCUUGCUUUUUAUAAUUAUAAAUAUAUUUUUUAUAAGGGACUCGUAAAUGUACAGGGACUUCCGGACUUGUUUACAACGUCAAAGAAGAAACAAACAGUGACGGUGAAAGUUAAAAAUCUAAAGUAAAUACACAUGUCUUAGUUACCCUCUUGUUAUAAAUGUAUAAAUCUAAAGUAAAUACACGUGUCUUAGUUACCCUCUUGUUAUAAAUGUAUUUUAUAAAGGGAUUUGCACGCGUAAAGGAUCCUCUUGUUUGUUAUAAGUGUAUUUUAUAAAGAGAUUUACACGUGUAAAGAAUGUGGUAAAUAUCAAAAAUCCGACACAAAUCACACAGAGACCAGAUAAGAAUACGAGAGAAAAUAGCAGGAUAGAUCACCGAAAUGGAGAAAAAGGUUACAAUAAUAUGCUUAAUAGCAGGAUUUUUAGGAUGUCUAGCCGCUGCUUUGGGCUUUGCAGCUGAGGCUAAAAGAGUUAAGGUAAAUUGUUGAUUUUUCAUUUAAUUCUCUUUUGUUGCUCGACUAUUUUUUCACUAGUACAUACUUGUAUAUUGAUUAUCCACCUUUAGGUACAUGUAUUUGAGGUGUCCUCUGGUAUUUAUGUACAAAAUUAAGUGCAUGUUGUUUCUAAAUUUCUUAUUGAUCUCUAAAAUUUAUUUGAAUUAAAGAUUUGCUGAUUAAAUUCUGUCACAUCCCUCAAUUGAACUGGUAUUAGCAUGGGCUGGGGAAAAGGUCUCUGGUGUCUUUUAUGUUUUACCAAAACCUGUUUGUAAAUCCAUUCACC
rnacentral:lncRNA from 1 species